AACGAACGCUGGCGGCAUGCCUAACACAUGCAAGUCGAACGAGACCUUCCGGUCUAGUGGCGCACGGGUGCGUAACGCGUGGGAACCUGCCCUUAGGUUCGGAAUAACUCCCCGAAAGGGGUGCUAAUACCGGAUAAUGUCUUCGGACCAAAGAUUUAUCGCCUUUGGAUGGGCCCGCGUUGGAUUAGCUAGUUGGUAGGGUAAAAGCCUACCAAGGCGACGAUCCAUAGCUGGUCUGAGAGGAUGAUCAGCCACACUGGGACUGAGACACGGCCCAGACUCCUACGGGAGGCAGCAGUGGGGAAUAUUGGACAAUGGGCGAAAGCCUGAUCCAGCAAUGCCGCGUGAGUGAUGAAGGCCUUAGGGUUGUAAAGCUCUUUUACCCGGGAUGAUAAUGACAGUACCGGGAGAAUAAGCACCGGCUAACUCCGUG
rnacentral:rRNA from 1 species